AAAAUGGGAUUGUUGUAAAGGCGUGCACAUGCUCGAAGCCAAUUCAAUUGCAYGGGUUCCAAGCCACAUUCCCGUAACACACUCCAAGAAGGUGUAGAAUUCCUGACCCCUAGUAUGGUGCGUAAAAAUCGUAAGAGCCACUUUUGAAUACAAUUCUCYAUCUCUUGACCCUGUUGUAGAUAAGAAGUGGCCCAAAUCUGAGAAGCGUACAUGCUGGCUGGAAUGACAUAAGUUUUGAAUAACCAGAGAUACGCAUGUAAACGGUGAG
rnacentral:lncRNA from 1 species